GUAGAUUGGGAUACUCUUCAAAUUUAUAUGAACUACCGAGACCGGUAUUCAUAUCAAUGGCGGGCCUCAACCACUUAUGGUGCUCUCCCGAAAGGGGGACCGGAGGAUUACAAAGAUAUGGAUGCUCUCAAACCCUGUUUUUUUCGGAGUUUCAUCACAUCCUUCGUUGUGGCCUUU
rnacentral:sRNA from 1 species